UGUAUAUGCAAAGAUGUUGCCGCAUUUGUCAGGGUUUGGUAGUUAUAAGGCACUUGGGGCAGAGCCGUUUUACAGGAUGUGACGUACAGGCGUAGAGGCAGCUCUGCGUAGUGUGCGUCGCUCAGUCUUGUUUUGCUUUCGACGACAUCAAGCUCGCUCUGGCAGUGGCGGCGCCAAGGGCGGGCCACGGCCACCCUGAUACAAUCGCUGGCCUCCUCACUUGUCCCAGUAAGCCAUGACAGAGUGAGUCAGCCAACAUGCAGAAUACCAGGACCCUGAGCAGUGCGUGUUGUGUCUUUCUACAAGGUUGCUGGACGACUCACAGGGCUGCCCGUCUCUGACACGAGGAAAACCUGUAGUGUAGCCCUCAAGUGCCGUCUCCUCAGCAUCGUCCUCCUCCCAGUCUUCAUCAUCUCCGUCCUCUCCUGCGUGCUUCGCCAGCAUCUCCAGGUACUCCUGGCCAUCUUCAUCGAUGUCAUC